CCUACGGGGGGCAGCAGUGUGGGAUAUUGCACAAUGGGGGAAACCCUGAUGCAGCGACGCCGCGUGGGCGAAGAAGUAUUUCGGUAUGUAAAGCCCUAUCAGCAGGGAAGAAGAAAUGACGGUAUCUGAGCAAGAAGCACCGGCUAAAUACGGGCCAGCAGCCGCGGUAAUACGUAGGGUGCAAGCGUUCUCCGGAUGUACGGGGUGUAAAGGGAGCGGAGGCGGCACGGAAAGCCUGGUGUGAAAGCCCGCGGCCCAACCGCGGGACUGCAUUGGAAACUACCGGGCUGGAGUGCGGGAGAGGUAAGCGGAAUUCGUGGUGUAGCGGUGAAAUGCGUAGAUAUUAGGAAGAACACCGGUGGCGAAGGCGGCCUACUGGACGGUGACUGACGCUGAGGCUCGAAAGCGUGGGGAGCAAACAGGAUUAGAUACCCUAGUAGUC
rnacentral:rRNA from 1 species